rnacentral:rRNA from 1 species
GACGAACGCUGGCGGCGUGCUUAACACAUGCAAGUCGAGCGGUAAGGCCCUUUCGGGGGUACGACGAGCGGCGAACGGGUGAGUAACACGUGGGUGACCUGCCCUCAGCUCUGGGAUAAGCCUGGGAAACCGGGUCUAAUACUGGAUAUGACUCCAUGACGCAUGUUGUGGGGUGGAAAGCCUUGUGCGGCUGAGGAUGGGCCCGCGGCCUAUCAGCUUGUUGGUGGGGUGAGGCCUACCAAGGCGACGACGGGUAGCCGGCCUGAGAGGGCGACCGGCCACACUGGGACUGAGACACGGCCCAGACUCCUACGGGAGGCAGCAGUGGGGAAGUCUUGCGCAAUGGGCGAAAGCCUGACGCAGCGACGCCGCGUGAGGGAUGACGGCCUC